UCUUAGUUAGGGUUUAUCUUCUCCCAUUUCCCAUAAAUUCCAAUUCAAAGGAAAAAAAAAAACCCGAAAUAAUAAUAAAUUCAAAAAAAAGUCGCCCAGCCCACUUUGAUAGCGACAAUUUAUAUCUCACAAUUUUAUCCAACCUCUGUUAGUGUGGAAUACGUCCAUUCCAUUCAGGUGUAUGAUAUCACCCCAUUUCUGGAUGAUCAUCCGGGCCGGUGAUGAAGUCUUAGUGUUAGCCACCAAGAAAGAUGCCACAGAGGAUUUUGAAGAUGUUGGCAACAGCCAAAAUGCAAGAGACAUGUUAAAAGAUUAAUAUGUGGGUGAUAUUGAUGUCAACACUUUGCCACAAAAAGGACAGUACAAGCCGCCUUCAAGCUCGGGUUCUGGGUCAAAACAAGCUUCUGGGAGCUCAUCCAACACCGCUGUCAUGUUGGUUUUACCCAUACUUAUCCUGGUGUUGGCAUACGCUUAUUAUUAUUUUACCAAAACCAAUAAGGUCAGCAGCCAUGCUUGAAUCAAUGAAGGUUUUGGUAUUAAAAACUAUAAUAUCUUGUUUGUAGUUUGUAGCUAGGAAGACUCUGAGUUUAGCUGGUUAUAGCAUGCAAUUUAAUAUUAUGUUUACUUUGGUCAAAUAUUGAUGAACAUGGUAUUUCUUGUUUUUGCCUGGACCUAAAUAUUAUAGUGAUAUGCUGUGUAGCUUCGUUGUAUUCA